UGUUUUUAUUUUUGAAUGUGUUUUACUCUGCAUAUGAGAACUUUUUCUUGACUUGUCAUUGGUGUGAUGUUUUAUAGUUAAAUAUGUUAUUCAUGUACUGCUCUAGAAAUGAGGCUUUUGUCUUCUUUUAUAUUGAAUCUGUUUAAAUUCUUUUAACACUGGUGUUUCUUGUAUUUCUUCGUGAUUCUACCUUUUGUCCUCAUUUAUAUUUAAUUUUCAAAAUUUUUUCCCCAUAUGUUUUAAUGAACUAUAUAUAUGGGGUAGAUUCAUUUAACCUAAGCGUAUACAUCAUGUAGAUUUGGAAAUUUAAUAUAUAUUUACGUGUGUUUGUAUAAGUAACAGAGGAGCAUUUGAUCAAAUCUUGAUGGAAUAGAUCUUUUAUAAACUUUUUACCUUUUGGUUGAAUAUUAUGUUAUGUUUGCAGGAAAAGAUGCUCUGAUGCAAUUCUUAGCAAAGAUGUUGUGAAUAAUUUGUAUGGCAAGAUUUAUUAUAAUCUUUAAUUUUUUUUUCAAGAUAUAUGUGAAUUUCCCCCACUUGCUUCCUUCUUUUUCCUCUCCCAAGGCAUCUUUCUUUGUUUCUCUGACUUUGCAAUUGUUAAGUCAUGAUCUGUAUAAAAAUAAAGAAAUAAAAUCCAUGAUCUCAUUUCUAAUGGGAUUACACCACAGUCAGAGUUUGUAGUUUCAGUUGAUCCUUCUUAUUCUUCCUUUUUAAAAUAUGAUAGAUGCAUGGUUUUCCAUGAUGGUAAGUAUCAUUGAAUUAAUUUAUAUCCUGUGUAAAGUUUGUUAUAUCAUUUUUGGUUGGGAUAAUUUCUUAGUGGCAAAAUGGUAUUUAGUAGGUGACUGAGUAGGUGACUAUACUAAUUUGACACUAAUUCUUUCUCUUUAUUCAAUUAUGACUGAGUCGGGAACUCCAAGUGGUAUGAAGAGCUUACCUCACCAAAACUCUUGAACACACUCCUAAAGUUAGUUAAGAAGUUCAUGACAAGAGAAUAUUUUCAUACUAGCCAUUAUAGGUGAAAUCUAUAAUGAUUGGAAGCAGUACUCAUUCUUCAAGGUUCAAGCCCUCGAUAGCUCUUUCUCUAUCCACGAAAGUCUUUGGGAGUAAUCCAUCUUAAGACUACGCUAAAAAAGGAUGUAGGAAGGAGAGACAAUAUGCCUAAUCUUUACAGUCACCCCAACAUCUACAAUGGGAGAUAGGAAGAGUGGAGAGAUUAUGUUGGAUAUGAGAAGCCUCAUGAAGUGAUGUCUACCUUUAAAGCCUGUGAAAGUUAUUAGGCAUAAGAAAAAAUAGUCCCUCUACAUCAUCAAGUGUCCCUCAUCUGUCAUGCUUUCAUAUUUACUUCAUUUUUUUAUGUUAAUCUUAUGAGUUGUCGCAUUUAAGUAGUGUAGUCGAUAUUGUGGGCUUCAUUACCCACAAGACAUUCCUACUGUGUUGUGUUUUCAAUCAACUUUUAAUUUAUAUGCCAAUUUUAAUUUUUGCUUAAA